AAUGGAGGAAACUCUGAUGCAGCGAUGCCGCGUGAGUGAAGAAGGCCUUUGGGUUGUAAAGCUCUUUCGUCGGGGAAGAAAAUGACUGUACCCGAAUAAGAAGGUCCGGCUAACUUCGUGCCAGCAGCCGCGGUAAUACGAAGGGACCUAGCGUAGUUCGGAAUUACUGGGCUUAAAGAGUUCGUAGGUGGUUGAAAAAGUUGGUGGUGAAAUCCCAGAGCUUAACUCUGGAACUGCCAUCAAAACUUUUCAGCUAGAGUAUGAUAGAGGAAAGCAGAAUUUCUAGUGUAGAGGUGAAAUUCGUAGAUAUUAGAAAGAAUACCAAUUGCGAAGGCAGCUUUCUGGAUCAUUACUGACACUGAGGAACGAAAGCAUGGGUAGCGAAGAGGAUU
rnacentral:rRNA from 1 species